ensembl:lncRNA
UUAAGAGCUUGUUUGUGGUUUUCUGAAACAUGAGACCUCUUUGCUGUUUUCCGUGUGUGUAGUGGAGGUUCAUAGGGAGCAGUGAGCUCAGUCGGUGAUGUCAGAAGUGGGCAGGUCUGUUUUGUAUUGGCUGUAAUGUAAUUGUCCGUAGCCUAUUCAGCUUCACUGUCUCAGAAGCUAUACGAAGGUGGCAUGUCUGCACAGUGGCUCAAAGUUACCCUCCCACCUGAACCACAGAACUUUGAACAGAUAGAGCAGUCUCUUCAUCGCUCCAUCUCAGUCCAUGGCAACUGUAGUGCCUGAAGCAAGCAUCUUCUCCACCACCACCUAGCUCUCCGGCCAAGUCAAACAGGAGAUGUCUGCCUUCCUGCUUUCGCCACAGACGUAAUACUAGUAACAUAAAGAGUUUUGGAUGAUAAUGGAUCCCAAGAGCCCACCCCUACCCUUCCAACAAUCCUUACCCAGCCGAUGGGAGUUCCCUUCACGUUUCCACACAAACCCGUACAGAGAAGCACAGACUCCAUGUCCCCAUGCUUCGUUUGUUGGGGGUAGGGGGGGGCACUCCUGAGACAAAGAAAACAUGUAUUUUGUGUACCAGUGACUGACAGACUCAGCUUCAACCACACCGAUUUAUUUUGUCUUGUGCGUAAUUUCAAAAGGUGAGACUCUGCUCACUGCAAAGGUCAGCCGGUAAUUAAACCUGUGGAAUGUUUCUAGGGGUCAGGAAAGGAGACCAAACUGUUUUUGGGGGUUUGGGUGUUGGGUUGUUUUCUUUUUUAGGUGUUUAAUUCUGGGUGUACAUUGCUAAACGGAAAGUGUAAUUGACUGAC